rnacentral:rRNA from 1 species
ACGGGUGAGUAACACGUAGGUAACCUACCCUUCAGUGGGGGACAACAGAGGGAAACUUCUGCUAAUACCGCAUACGAUCACGGACUGGGACGUUCGUGGUGAAAGGAUUUAUUCGCUGAGGGAUGGGCCUGCGGCCUAUCAGGUAGUUGGUGGGGUAAUGGCCUACCAAGCCUGCGACGGGUAGCCGGACUGAGAGGUCGAUCGGCCACACUGGAACUGAGACACGGUCCAGACUCCUACGGGAGGCAGCAGUGGGGAAUAUUGCACAAUGGGGGAAACCCUGAUGCAGCGACGCCGCGUGGAGGAUGACGGCCUUCGGGUUGUAAACUCCUUUUGUCGGGGACAAUGGUGAUGGUACCCGACGAAUAAGCCACGGCUAACUCUGUGCCAGCAGCCGCGGUAAGACAGAGGUGGCGAGCGUUGUUCGGAAUUACUGGGCUUAAAGGGCGCGUAGGCGGUGGUGUAAGUCUAGGGUGGAAUGCUACAGCUCAACUGUAGAGCUGCCUUGGAAACUGCAUUACUUGAGUCGGUGAGGGGAAGGUGGAAUUCCAGGU